AUACGUAGGGUGCAAGCGUUAAUCGGAAUUACUGGGCGUAAAGCGUGCGCAGGCGGUUUUGUAAGACAAAGGUGAAAUCCCCGGGCUCAACCCGGGAACUGCCUUUGAGACUGCAAGGCUAGAGUACGGCAGGGGCGGAUGGAAUUCCGCGUGUAGCAGUGGAAUGCGUAGAUAUGCGGAGGAACACCGAUGGCGAAGGCAAUCCCCUGGGCCUGUACUGACGCCCAUGCACGAAAGCGUGGGGAGCAAACAGGAUUAGAUACCCUGGUAGUCCACGCCCUAAACGAUGUCAACUGGUUGUUGGGUCUUCAUUGACUCAGUAACGAAGCUAACGCGUGAAGUUGACCGCCUGGGGAGUACGGCCGCAAGGUUGAAACUCAAAUGAAUUGACGGGG
rnacentral:rRNA from 1 species